rnacentral:lncRNA from 1 species
GGAAGGCGGGGCUAGGCCGUCAUUCAACUUGGCCCCGCCGAUCAGGGCGGGACUACGCGCGCCCUGGGCCCGCCCAGGAAGGUUCCGCAGGUAGAAGGCAGGCGCCCGGUCUACGACGUCAUCGCGCUGACGCCGGCGUCCACUCGGCCCCGCCUGCUCCGUUGAAAAUGCCGAACCUAACAUGGCGGCGCGCGCUCGGCCCGCUUCACCCUGGUGUUUCCUCUCGCGCGGGCACUCUUCAGAGAGGAGAGACCCUCUUGGACAAGAGAGGCAGGCUGCAAAAGCCCACUGAACGUGCUUCUGAUAUUCAGGAGAAUGGACACAGGAGCCCAGGCUGAUUCUUAACCGCAAGAGGACCAGUGAAGUCCCUCUGCCGUCUUUUCUAAUCCGGAUUCCACAACAGUGUUACAUCAAAGUGCAUACAGGAGAGUUAUUCCAUGAAGCCAGAUUCUACAUGUAGAAACUGUGAGUCAGCGUAGCGGAUACAACUCUGCAAAACUUUACAAAAGAAAAGCACUGAGUGCCAGCUUACAAGCCGGUGGUGUUUAAAAUGCAACAGUUCAAAAUGCA